UGUUGCUUGCCAACUGCCAAUAAAAUUCAGAAGAAGAGGAAGACGCGGUGACCGCAAUUUCACUUUCUUUGGGUGCCAGCUCAUGUAGGAAUCAGUGGAAAUGAAAAGGUGGAUAGGUUGGCAAAAGGAGCGUUGACUAAAAAUAGGACUGAGAUGGAAAUUAAAAGCAGCGGAUCUGAAGCAAAAGAUUGUACGCUCACUGACCCGUACUCCGGAACAGUAGGUGGCGGUAAUGCUCCUUUACGUUGGUUGCCAACCGCCAUUAAACACAAAGUAGAAGAAGAAGAAGAAGAAGAAGAAGAAGAAGACGCGGUGACCUUCAAGCAACGCUGUUCUGCUUGCCACUUGCCAGAGAGCCGGUGAACACCGGGCGGCUACAUUCUUGGUCGCCAUUGCUUGGUGUUAAUACGGCUAUAGCUAAUAUAGCAAUAGAGAGUGAUCAGCUGCAGUCUGCUCAGCAGUGAGAAAUGAAGACAUCAGUUAUGGACGAAUCAUCGAAGAGAAGAGAAACAGUCUAUAGAAGGUUUCGCCUUUCUGGCACAUUACACAACAUGCCACGAGGUCAAAGUGAGGCCGGGACAAAAUGCCACACUUGAGUGUCGUGGCUCCAGAGAUUUAAUGAUCUCAGUGGUACAGUGGCGCAAACCUGAUCUCAAACCAGACAGUUAUGUGUUCUUCUACCGAAAACCACACUCGUAUGAGAACUACCGGCACGAGUCCUUUAAAGGCCGAGUGGAUCUGAGAGAGCCGUCCAUGAAGGACGGAGAUGCUUCUGUGGUUCUGAGGAACGUCAGCAUCAGCGAUACAGGAACGUACGAGUGUGAGAUUAUAACCAGCAACACAAGAAGUGGUGAGAGAGACGUCACAGAGUUCAAGCACUCCAUCAACCUCACAGUCACAGACGCAGAUGGAGGGGAUGAGGCUGUAGGAGACAAGGAGGGAGGAGGCAAGGUUGAAGUUAGAGCUGCUGUCUCUGUUUCUGCUGGGCUGCUUAUUAGUAUUAUUAUUAUUAUUGUUGUUGUUGUUGUUGUUGUUACAGCUAUUGUUGCUUUGAUUAACUACAGGAGACACAAAUCAUGCUGGAUUUCAUCCUCACGAUUUGUGUUAGCUAACCCUGAUAGCGAAUGCCUUAGAUCAGUGAAGCUGCAACAAGGGUUGUCAUCCACAGCCAGUCUACUGGCUCGUCUCAAGUUUACAGUGCGGCUAUAAAGACCUACAUCAGAGUGAUCUCCUAAUCUUUUCUGUCCUCUCUUUGCUGCUGAGCAUGACUUUUCUCUGAGAGCAGCUGAUGAACUUGAAAGAUCAGGAGACAAAACAAAUCAGAUGAAUGUAUAUUUAUUAAGCACCUUAAUUCGUUUUCUUUGCCUUCUGUUCUGGGCAGCACGGUGGCACGGUGGUUAGCACUGUUGCCGCACAGCAAGAAGGUCCUGAGUUCAAUUCCAACAUCAGGUUGGGGUCUUUUUGUGUGGAGUUUGCAUGUUCUCCCCGUGUUUGCAUG